GGGGUAGUAGCUCAGUUGGUUAGAGUACCUGCCUGUCACGCAGGGUGCCGUGGGUUCAAGUCCCAUCUAUCCCG
rnacentral:tRNA from 1 species